AAGACUAUACUUUCAGGGAUCAUUUCUAUAGUUCAUUAAUUUUUGGAAACAGUUCACAUCAGGCAUGUUAACGCUUAGCCAGGAUAAGCCAAAGAGAUGGUGAUGAUGGC
rnacentral:snoRNA from 1 species